rnacentral:rRNA from 1 species
UACGGGGGGUGCGAGCGUUGUUCGGAAUCACUGGGCGUAAAGCGCGUGUAGGCGGCAUGGCAAGUCAGAUGUGAAAGCCCACGGCUCAACUGUGGAUGUGCAUUUGAAACUGCCAAGCUUGAGUGCGGGAGGGGGAAGGGGAAUUCCCGGUGUAGAGGUGAAAUUCGUAGAUAUCGGGAGGAAUACCGGUGGCGAAGGCGCCUUCCUGGACCGACACUGACGCUGAGACGCGAAAGCGUGGGGAGCAAACAGGAUUAGAUACCCUGGUAGUCCACGCCGUAAACGAUGAGAACUAGGUGUUGCGGGUAUCGACCCCUGCAGUGCCGUAGCUAACGCGUUAAGUUCUCCGCCUGGGGAGUACGGUCGCAAGAUUA